UACGAGUGCCUCGAGCGUUAUCCGGAAUUAUUGGGCGUAAAGGGCGUGUAGGCGGCGAUGUUAGUCUCCCGUUAAAUCUUUCGGCUCAACCGAGAGGCUGCGGGGGAAACGGCAUUGCUACGAGGACGGAAGAGGUCUCUGGAACUCAUGGUGUAGCGGUGAAAUGCGUUGAUAUCAUGGGGAACACCAAAAGCGAAGGCGAGAGACUGGUCCGCUACUGACGCUGAAACACGAAAGCGUGGGUCGCGAAUGGG
rnacentral:rRNA from 1 species